UUCAUUUUUAAGAAAGAAAACUUUAUUAGUGAUUUAUUAACAAAACACAUUACCACUGUAUCCAUUUAGGUAAAAUAAAAAAAAAUGAGAAAGUAAAUGAAAUAAAUGAAAUUCACUACUUCACUGUCACAGUUGAUGAGCGGGUGUACAAAAAAAGGGUUUUACAACAGAUCUGGGCUAGUCCAAUGAGGACUGCACAUUUCCACCAUAGUUCACCACCAUACAUCAGGAAAGAAUGACAGCAUGAACGCUCACUAAACACAAGCAUACAAUACAUAUAUGUUUUUUUACACUGGAAUUUUUUUUAAUCUUUUUUCUUUUUUUUUCCAGAGUGAAAGGGAAGUGAUAGCUCAUCAUAGGAUCAUACAUUUUCAGUUACAAUAUUACAGUGUUAGUUAGAUCAUCAUGUCAAAGCCAGACACAAAGUGUUUUCUUUUUUUUUUUUCUUUUUUUUCUUGCUUUGCUUUUUCUUAAAAGCAAAAAUCAUAGUUGAUAAAAAGAAAAAUAAUAAACUUGCGUUGAAAGGUAUCACACUAUAGCAUUUACAAAUAUCUAAAGAGGUUUAGUGGAUGCCAUACAACAUCUGUGGAGCGUGAAGAUUGUAGUACAUAGAUGUUUGGCUGACAGAAGUACAUAGAAAUAUCUCCUGUGCAAGUAAUGAAGAGAAAUGAUGAUACAAAAGAAUAAAAUCAUAGCCAUCUAUCUAUUUAUAUAUAUAUUUCUCUAUAUAGUAUGUGUUUCCUUAGAGCAGUACAUGCAGCAGCCACUUAAUGGAGUGACGUCAUACAGAGCCGCAAAACUUUGGGGACGUGGCAACAAGUUACAGGCGGGAAGGGGUACCAGCAUUAGCAGGUCUUGAGUAACACCCCAUUGUCAAGACCUCCUGAGAGAGGAUUGGUGGGAUACAGCUGAAGGAUGGGAUCCCGUAGAUGCCUGUAUUUUUAGCAGGUGUCAAUUACUAAUGUAGAGACUAUCUAUGAAAAGUCUACACUACAUUUACAGUGUACAUAAAAGCUAAAAUGUGACUGGAUGAUCCUACACAAUCAAUUUGGAGAACAACCUUCUUCUCUUGUACAUGGAAGUGGCGGGCCAGCCCAUGGCACCUGUCACCUCACUUCCUUCCGGUCCUCAUCCCACCUGGUCCCCUCUCAUCUGUGGCAACAAACAGGAAAUGAACAGCGUACUGUUGUACUCACAAGUUAAAAGCACUGAACCAUUGUGCACUUAAAGAGACAUCUGAUAAGUGUUCAGGGUGUAGACCCCUCCAACCCCCCUGAGUGGGCUUCCCCUGGCCUCGUCCACAUUUCUCCAUGCUGUUCUCAGCAUACCACAAUGUUCAGAGCAGCAGGGUCUGCAGGGGGUCUGUGCAAGGGUUAGGUAUAGAAUCUGAGGGUGAAUGGAGGUGGGCGUGACAAGUAAAAUGCAUUUAAAGCUAUGAGGAAGAAAAAAAUGCCAGAGAAUGUGAUUGUGAAUCUCUUCAGAUAGGACAGAUCAAGUCCACAAC